AUAAGCCAUGCAUGUCUAAGUACAGGCUUUGGUACAGCGAAACCGCGAAUGGCUCAUUAAAUCAGCUAUAAUUUAUUAGAUUGUUCUCUACUUGGAUAACUGUGGGAAUUCUAGAGCUAAUACAUGCGCAAAAGCUCCGACCUUCGGGGAGGAGUGCAGUUAUUAGACCAAAACCAGCCGAGCUUCGGCUCGAACUGUUUGGUGACUCUGGAUAACGAUCAGCGGAUCGCAUGGCCUUGUGCCGGCGACAUAUCUUUCAAGUGUCUGACCUAUCAACUGACGAUGGUACGCGAUAUGCCUACCAUGGUGAUAACGGGUAACGGAGAAUAAGGGUUCGACUCCGGAGAGGGAGCCUGAGAAAUGGCUACCACAUCCAAGGAUGGCAGCAGGCGCGCAAAUUACCCACUCUCAGUACGAGGAGGUAGUGACGAAAAAUAACAAUGCGGGACUCUAUGAGGCCUCGCAAUUGGAAUGAGCGCACUUUAAAUCGUUCGACGAGGAUCUAUUGGAGGGCAAGUCUGGUGCCAGCAGCCGCGGUAAUUCCAGCUCCAAUAGCGUAUAUUAAAGUUGUUGCAGUUAAAAAGCUCGUAGUUGGAUCUGGGGUUCGGGUCGGUGGUUUGCCGCUCUGCGGCUACUGCCGUGCUCGACUCUUACUAGCCGGUGCGUCUCGCGGUGCUCUUCAUUGAGUGCCACGAGAGCCUGGCAUGUUUACUUUGAAAAAAUUAGAGUGCUCAAAGCAGGCGCUUGCGCCUGAAUAGUGUUGCAUGGAAUAAUGGAAUAGGACCUCGGUUCUAUUUUGUUGGUUUUCGGAACUUGAGGUAAUGAUUAAGAGGGACGGUCGGGGGCAUUCGUAUUUCGGUGUUAGAGGUGAAAUUCUUGGAUCGCUGAAAGACGGACAAAUGCGAAAGNUUUUUGCCAAGAA
rnacentral:rRNA from 1 species